UAAUACAAUUCCGAUUUGUUUUUCUCAGAAUUGUGAGUUUAUAUCUGAGAAUCUCAGAAAUGUGAGAACAAAACUUACAAUUACAUUUUUGUUUUUAAUCUCAAGGCGGAAACAAGCUUCCAUAGUAACCUGUUUGUGUAAGUUCUCAAUCAUUUCAGAUGUCGACUAUACCUUUAUUUUUGCGUGAUUGUAGCUUAUAAUAAAGUCUGCAGUGGUCUUUUCCAGUUUUUCACAUUGAAAAACAAUUGUUUAUUCAAACGGUCACCUUCAUGAACGUAGAGGAAUUGUCCGUAUUGUACAAAGAAAAGGGUAACAAUUUACAAAUACAACAUGCUGACAAAGGAUAUGCAAUCAUUUCUUGGAUGGCAAACAAGUAGUUGUACAUGAAAAAAAAAAAAAGAAAAUCAAACAACAAUGCAAUGUCAUACAAAGAACAUCAUUGUAGGCCAAACCUCUGAACGGUUUGUCAUCCGAUCAGUUUGUGGAGUAAAAUCGAUGUCAUUUAUAUCUCUGAAUCACAGUGUAAUGCCAUGAACAAAAGACAUCACAAUUUUAUCGAAAAGAAAUCUAUAUACAUUGAUAAUGUUAAUUCCGUAAUGUACAUGAAUAGUAAAAGUUUACAGUCAAAAAAAGUAAUCGAAUCUGCCCUCCCUAUUUUGACUAAAAAAAUAGAAAUUAAUAUCUCUAAGUGUAAUACUUUUUCCUUUUAAAAACAAUAAAAUACAUACAAUGCCUUGCACUCGACCUGUUCUGCUUUUCUAGCUUGCUGUAGAAAACCGCAUUAGGGUUUUUUGUUACUAGGUUAUUUAAGGUCAUUUAUCAAAAUUAUAUUCUCUCAAUUUAGACUUUUACACUGGGAGUUGCCAAAGUUGUUGUUUUGGGUAACAGUGAAUCAAUCGUACGACGUUGGGUGGUUUGUCAAGCCACAAAGCAAGCCUUAGCAUAUCCAAGAAGAGACAAGUUCAGCUUAAUUAAAAAUAAAAAUAAAGGAAUAUCAUUCACAUAUACCAAUACAGUAAAACCGAGCCAAGCAUUGAGCCAAAGAUGUGCUAACCUGUCCAGAAAUCUGUACAAUAGGCUCCAGUAUUUUGAUGAUGUUGGGUGAAAAACAAUCCGGUCCAGGGAGUUUGUUGGCCAGGUUUGGCUUGGAGGAUACUUAGGUUUGUGCAAGGCACUAUGGAUCCACCAGGGGGCGCUCAAUUUAUUCCCCGAAACACAUUUGAGAGGCAACGAAAGAUGCGAAAUGCUUUAGAGAUGCACGACUGGCAUCCAAAGUCAUCGUUUUUGCAGUUUUCCAUCCGUUUUUCUCGUACGAUUAAGCUAGCUGUGGAUAAAAUUGACGCUCCUCCGAUAAACAAAACCCAACGCUCACAUCUCCCUGAGGAAAAUAAAACGUUUCUAUGGCACAUAGGAUUGUCCGCGAGAGUAUUUAUGAACGCAUGUGUAAGGAGAGGCAGGUGAAGUCCGUGUUUACUAUAAACUAUGGCAUUGAUAGAAAUUUUCACAGUAGAAAACACAUGGAACAAAAAAAAAAAAGACAUUGACAAUCACAUUUGGUGCAAACAAACCAAAAAAACCAGUGAACAAGUUUUUGUAUGUGAAACUACUUAACUCAGGGCAUUAGAAAGUUUGUUCGGUAAGAUACUGCAGUGAGCGAAGAAGAGCUGUUUCACCUAGUGAAUCACAAAUGGGUUGUACGCCCACUGUAACUACAUAGCCUAGCCCAAAAAAAUAAAAAUAAUCGCAAAUUGUUUUGUGGCCGUUUUUGUGCAAAAAACUGUGAUUCAGUAGUCUCUCAGGAAGUGACUUGAAAGGUUAAAUAGAGCUUAAAUCACAGAAAACAUACAUACUAAAAUGUUUGCGAAUUAACAAGUGGCUUUACGAAAAAUAUUGUAUUAUUCAAAUAAGUGCUUCAUGUAAUAGACAAAGAAAUAAAACUCUAUAAUACCUCAUUCAGAUUAGCAGAGCCAAACAAUGUACCGUAAAUUAAAAACCAGUUUUUCCGCACACCUAAGGUUGUACCUUAGUGAUACUCUUUUUCGUACACUUUUUCAUUUGGAUCAACUUUCGUUUUAUCUCAUUUUUCACAACUAAACUGCUCUGCGUAUUUCAAACGACUCGAAAGAAAGACAUCGCCCGUUAAAGUGAAUCUUUGGGUUCUAAGCUUUCUCCAAAAUCAAAAUCAAAUAAAGGAGAGCAAGGGAAGUGAUCCGUAAACAUAAUUGCGAGAGAGAACCUCUAGUGGCCGAAUUUGGGAUUGCGGACAUGGUUUUUGCUGCCCCGAAACAAGCCUGUUAAAGAAAUUCAAACAACUAAAGAGAGAUGCACUUGGCUCUAAAACAUUUCUAACAACAUACUGAGGUAGACUGUGUCCAAACAACCAACAGAAAGACAUUAGCGCUAAUAAACCAACUGCGUUCGUGACCUCGCCAGCUGUUACUCUCUUUAAACAAAAAAUAAACAACUAAACGACUAGUUUUACCCGCCUUAGAGUAUUGUAAUAAAAGCUAACAGGGAUUUACAUAAUUAUGAGGAUCAUAAAAUAAAUAAAAUAUCAAUAUUUGCCUUUUCAAAGAUAUGUAAUCUUGUUAUUUAGGGAAAAAAAAUCUGCUCACUGCUACAGGAAAAAAAAAAUUUUUUCUUUGUAAUAGUGUAAGAAAAGCUACAAGCAAGUUUGAUUUCUUUGAUUCUGCUAUGUGCAUUUAAAAUUAAGCCAAUGGGACCAAGAAAGGGAACAUUUAUGUUAAAAGGCUACGGUAAGGUGAGAGCAAGGUGAGAAAAAAAAAAAACAUGAAAUGGCAAACACGCUUACUAAAGCUUACGUGUGAAUUUCAGCCUCGUUCUGUCGUUUCCCUCCCAAACUACCCACAAAUAAAUAUACAUACACACAAAUAUGCACGCACACACAGGAAAUGUGCACAUUUUUGAUGAUGACAAGUAAGAUCCAGUAAAAGCGCCAUCUCUCUUGCCUCUGGCAAUCGGAGAAGGCACAAAGUUGAGGAAUUGAGCAUCUGCCUACCAAAGCUGUCUGCGUUUUAUCUUUAAAGGAUUAUUUGGGAAAAAGCGGCAUCAUUCUGACAGAGAAGGAAGUUUACUUUCCCUGUGGUCUUCUAAGACUUCCCUUUCUCAGAACUAGAGCGUAAACGUCUUUAUUAUGCGAAGCCGUGCGAGAACUACACUCACUUUUGAUACUUUAACAGGUACCGGAGCCUGAUCGGGGAUAAAUUACAGGAAUGUUUUAAUGAUCCGAUUUAAAUAUUACCAGGUCGAAUAUUCCUGCUGUCGAAAAACGAACAACCUAGAAUCCCUCGGUAAAGCAUAUCUUUCACAAUAACAUCCUAAAUCCACCAGAAAAAUCAGGUAAAUAGUAAAUCGAGCCAAAAACAACCUCUCAUAUCCCACAGAAAA